rfam:Camelus ferus unplaced genomic scaffold scaffold954, whole genome shotgun sequence.
GAGGGGAUAGCUCAGUGGUAGAGUGUGUGCUUAGCAUGCAUGAGGUUCAGGGUUCAAUCCCUAGUACCUCCA